GAGUGUCGGUUAAGUCCGCUAACGAGCGCAACCCGCGUUGUGUGUUACAAGUGUCACACAAUACCGCCGGUAUUAAGUCGGAGGAAGGUGCGGAUGAACGUCAAGUCAGCAUGACCUUUAUAUCCAGGGCUACACACACGCUACAAUGGUCGGCACAAUAGGUUGCCAAGUCGUGAGACGGAGCCAAUCCUCCCAAAGCCGGCCUCAGUUCAGAUUGCAGGCUGCAACUCGCCUGCAUGAAGUUGGAGUUGCUAGUAAACGCAGGUCAGCUAUACUGCGUUGAAUACGUUCCCGGGGAUU
rnacentral:rRNA from 1 species